UACGUAGGGGGCUAGCGUUGUCCGGAAUCAUUGGGCGUAAAGAGCGUGUAGGCGGUCCGGUAAGUCCGCUGUGAAAGUCGGGGGCUCAACCCUCGAAUGCCGGUGGAUACUGUCGGGCUAGAGUGCGGAAGAGGCGAGUGGAAUUCCUGGUGUAGCGGUGAAAUGCGCAGAUAUCAGGAGGAACACCGGUGGCGAAGGCGGCCUGCUGGGCUAUGGCUGCACUGGAGGCGCGGACAGCGUGGGGAGCAAACAGG
rnacentral:rRNA from 1 species